GAUGAAGAACGCAGUGAAAUGCGAUACUUGGUGUGAAUUGCAGAAUCCCGUGAACCAUCGAGUCUUUGAACGCAAGUUGCGCCCGAAGCCACUAGGCCGAGGGCACGCCUGCCUGGGCGUCACACGUCGUUGCCCCCCCCCCCAUCUACUCCUUCGGGAUUGCGGGGGGCGGAUGAUGGCCUCCCGUGCGCCUAGCCGCGCGGUUGGCAUAAAUACCAAGUCCUCGGCGACGCACGCCACGACAAUCGGUGGUUGCGAAACCUCGGUUGCCCGUCGUGUGCGUUCGUCGCGCAUCGAGGGCUCGAAAAAAUGCUCGGCUCCGGCUCGGCUUUCAACGCGACCCCAGGUCAGGCGGGGUUACCCGCUGAAUUUAAGCAUAUCAAUAAGCGGAGGA
rnacentral:misc_RNA from 1 species